UCAGUCUUGUGCGAUAAUUCGACACUCUUGUAAUAAAUUUUCUUUCUAUAAACGACGUUGAUGGCCCUGAGAUUAGGGGUGAUAUUGAUGCUGGUUAACAUGCUAAACAAUAUUUCCAAAAGGUAGAAAACAUAAACUUGCAUAUAUAACCAUAUAUCACUUAGUCUAUUAUCAGUGAUCUCCUCGUUAAAUGUUUAGCUCUGAUACUAAAUUUACAAACACAUAACAGGUAGAACCACAAAGGAGGUAUUUAGGAUCAAAAAUAUUUUUGGUGAGGUAUUUAAGGAUAUACAAAGAUGAUUUAUAAUACAAAGUGGGAUCUUUAUUUUAUUAAGAACACUUAGAGAUAUACAAAUUUAGAAACAUAUAGUAGGUACAACCACAAAGGAGGUGUUUAGGAUCAAAAGUAUUUUUGGUGAGGUAAUUAAGGAUAAACAAAAGAUGAUUUAUAAUACAAAGGGGAAUCUUUUUAUUAAGAACACUCAAAAAUAUUACAAGGGAUUCUUUAGGACUCAACUCUCUCAACUCACUUAGCUUGGAUUACCAUACUCUCUAAGCCUCCUUAUUUAUAUUACAAGGCUUUCAAUACACACCAUUCGUAC
rnacentral:lncRNA from 1 species